rnacentral:ncRNA from 1 species
AGCCGCGAUUAAAAGGGAAUGAGGUGGAAAUCCUCGACUGUCCCGCAGCUGUGAGUUCCUUUAUAUACGACUGGCACGAUAAGCCACUGCCACCUUUUAUGGGGCGGGAAGGCGCCGGUUGUUGGAACGAAGUCAGAAGACCUGCCUUAGUGUGA